UUUUGAUGGGUCAACAAGCUCAACAUGUCAAAACGUCCCAAACUGUCUGGUGCCCAGGGGAGGAAAAAACAGAAAAGAAGAGGAGGAAAAACUCGACAAAGACAGAGAUGCGCUGCUGAGGUUUCUCAGUCCCACCGUUGCAAAUCCUCCUGUCGCCUCCACCUCAGCAGCACAACCUAGCAGUGAUGCAGCAGCAGCAGUAUCAAGCGCUCCUCCUUCUGUUGCUCCAAUAGACCCGGCUGACUGGCCAUCUCCUCUAACUGAUAAGGUACGAACAGAGUUGGUUCACAGUGGUCCAUUUCAAAUAGAAAAUAGCUUCACAUUCCCUAAACAAAAGGACGGUCGAAGGUGUCAACAUGACUAUUUUAACAGAGUCUUAGUCAAUGGAGAAAAAGUCAGAAGAAGCUGGCUUAUGUACUCUAAAAAAGAUGGUAGCUUGAACUGCUUCUGCUGCAAACUUUUUUCUAAAAGAGAGUACAAACUGAACAGGGAAGGACUUAAGGACUGGAAAAAUGCAAGUCACUUGCUCAAGGUCCAUGAGGAUAGUCAGGAGCAUAAUGCUCACAUGGCAACAUGGAAGGACUUGGAGGUCUGUUUUGCAAAAGGGCUCACAAUAGAUAAACAAGAGAUGGCACUUGCUGAGGCUGAGAGAAAAAGGUGGCGUGACGUUCUACAUCGAUUGGUGGCAAUAAUUCAGUCCUUAGCUGAAAGAAACAUGGCUUUUAGGGGUUCUACAGACACAUUAAAUAAACCAGACAAUGGAAAUUUCCUGAAAGAGGUGGAGCUUAUGGCCAAAUUUGAUCCAGUGAUGAAGCAGCAUGUCAGUAGGGUGGAAAGUGGAGCUGGCAGUCAUGUACAUUAUCUUGGCAAAACAAUCCAAAAUGAACUGAUAGACUCCAUCAGUUCU